rnacentral:rRNA from 1 species
UACGGAGGGGGCAAGCGUUGUUCGGAAUUAUUGGGCGUAAAGGGCGCGUAGGCGGCCGGCCAAGUCGGGUGUGAAAUCCCUCGGCUCAACCGAGGAACUGCACUCGAUACUGGCUGGCUUGAGUCCGGGAGGGGAUGGUGGAAUUCCCAGUGUAGCGGUGAAAUGCGUAGAUAUUGGGAGGAACACCAGUGGCGAAGGCGGCUACCUGGACCGGUUCUGACGCUGAGGCGCGAAAGCGUGGGGAGCAAACAGG